GACGAACGCUGGCGGCGUGCUUAACACAUGCAAGUCGAACGGAAAGGCCCUGCUUUUGUGGGGUGCUCGAGUGGCGAACGGGUGAGUAACACGUGAGUAACCUGCCCUUGACUUUGGGAUAACUUCAGGAAACUGGGGCUAAUACCGGAUAGGAGCUCCUGCUGCAUGGUGGGGGUUGGAACGUUUCGGCGGUUGGGGAUGGACUCGCGGCUUAUCAGCUUGUUGGUGGGGUAGUGGCUUACCAAGGCUUUGACGGGUAGCCGGCCUGAGAGGGUGACCGGCCACAUUGGGACGGAGAUGCGGCCCAGACUCCUACGGGAGGCAGCAGUGGGGAAUAUUGCACAAUGGGCGGAAGCCUGAUGCAGCAACGCCGCGUGCGGGAUGACGGCCUUCGGGUUGUAAACCGCUUUCGCCUGUGACGAAGCGUGAGUGACGGUAAUGGGUAAAGAAGCACCGGCUAACUACGUG
rnacentral:rRNA from 1 species